rnacentral:rRNA from 1 species
AACGAACGCUGGCGGCAUGCCUAACACAUGCAAGUCGAACGAGACCUUCGGGUCUGGUGGCGCACGGGUGCGUAAAGCGUGGGAACCUGCCCUUAGGUUCGGAAUAACUCCCCGGAAGGGGUGCUAAUACCGGAGAAUGUCUUCGGACCAAAGAUUUGUCGCCUUUGGAUGGGGCCGCGUUGGUUUGGCUUGUGGGGAGGGUAAACGCCUGCCAAGGCGACGAGCCGUAACGGGUCUGUGAGGAGGAUCAGGCACACUGGGACUGGGACACGGCCCCGACGCCUAGGGGAGGCAGCGGUGGGUAAUCUUGGACAACGGGCCAGAGCCUGAUCCAGCGAUGCCGCGUGAAUGAUCAAGGCCUUAGGGUUGUAAAGCUCUUUUACCCGAGAUGUUAAUGACAGUACCGAGAGAAUAAGCACCGGCUAACUCCGUG